rnacentral:lncRNA from 1 species
CCGGGAAAUAUUUUAAAUGGAAAGUCCAUAAUCAAAUGUCAAAAUUAAAAGCUCUUGGACAUCAAAUGAAUGGAUAACAACUGUCAUAUUCCUGUCUUGGUACAGCCAUUUUAUUAUGUAGAAGAAAAUGUUGGAUUAAACCUUAGGCCUUAUAUGUCGUAUUCAAUACAAAAAGAUCUGUUGUGUAUUACAAAUGGUCUUCGCUGUUAUUUAGAACUUUUUGAAAUAUGAUCAUCCGUCCGAGGUUUGCAUAUUUUAAUCAGAAAACCUAUAUGUUCUUUUUAUAUAAUGUAUAUCGUAUUUCAGUCAUUGUCCCAAGUAAUAUAGAAAGACACCGUAGUUGUCCAUACGCAACAAUUGUUCAUUCAUAUUUUUGAUUGGUGUAAAGGCUAAUAAUCUCUUUUUCCACAAUAAAAAAAUAUUGAUUAACACAUAAGAACAAUUUCGC